rnacentral:rRNA from 1 species
UACGGAGGGGACUAGCGUUGUUCGGAAUUACUGGGCGUAAAGCGCACGUAGGCGGAUUUGUUAGUCAGGGGUGAAAUCCCGAGGCUCAACCUCGGAACUGCCUUUGAUACUGCAAAUCUCGAGUCCGGAAGAGGUGAGUGGAAUUCCCAGUGUAGAGGUGAAAUUCGUAGAUAUUAGGAAGAACACCAGUGGCGAAGGCGGCUCACUGGUCCGGUACUGACGCUGAGGUGCGAAAGCUAGGGUAGCGAACGGG